GAGCUCUGCUUUUUACUGAGUCACCAGCGCGAGUUAUGGCAGAAACCAGCAGCAGAGCACCCUAGAAGAGGAAGAAAAGUGGGUGUCGAAAAGAUGGGAUCUUGCGGAUCGGCGAUGCGCGAGCCGGAGAAGGCUUCAGCCGGCUGAAGAGGCGAGAGAGAUGGCCCGUGGGUCUGGGCGUGGCUCUUCACCCCGUGUUACAUGGUGAGCGUAUUCGACAUCUACUUCAAGACUGCCGUCGUCCGCGGCACGGAUCCCGUCGCUCCUCGCUUCUCCGCACCCGCCGCCAAGCGCCUCGUUCUUGUCGUGGGUUAACAGCUUCACCGAGUGGGCGCUCUUUACUUGGGGUUUCCUUUUGCGGGGGUUACUGCCUCUUCUUAUCUGUUCUACUUGAUUCCAUGGAGAUCUGAGAUACCAGCUUUUGUUUGCUUGGCCAGUUGGUUCCUGUCUGGAUUUACACAGAUGCUGGCUGAAAUUCCUCAUGUUAAUCCAUUGGAUAUCUAGCGGAGUUAUGAUCAUUGCUGUAGGAGUAGCUGCAAGGUCGCUAGACAAGCAUGCCGAAGGCAGUAUGUAUAGAUCAGGCACUUUUGGCGGGGUUGUCCUCAAUGAUGUUUAUCACUCUCAACAUCUCACAGUUAAUGCAGACCCAAAGAACUGCACAUACUUCACCAGCACCUGACUGUUUCAUGGCUGGUUCUUUGAUUCUUCCUUUAUUCAGAAAAUGCCCUCUUAUCUUGGUUGACUACCAUAUUUCUUGGUUUUGAUUGACCUUUCCUUCUUCUAUCUAUCAGAUAAACCUCUUUUAUACCCCUUUCUGCCUAUGUUUUUCUAACUUUGAAUACGUACAAACUGUUAGAACAACGGUUCAUGUAUUUUAACUCUUUGUUCUUUUGUAUGGAACAUGGUAGAUAUGGAGCUGCCUUCUAUGAGGCACAUUUGCUCUUGCACUUAUGGCGUGGUUGCUUUUUGAAUACACACUUCUCUAUUUAGCAAAACUGAGAAGAUUACUGUCUCCAAUAUGAGCACGUGGAAAAUGCGGUUCUUGAAACUGAUGAUAGAUACUUGCGGCCCUUUGUCAUGAGAAUUCCUCCAAGUUCUAUGUUAGGGAAGGGAUUGGUCGCUCAGUGUGAAUCACCUCCUGUAGUUGGAUCUUGGGAUUGUUUCAUCACAAUCAGAUCAAAUAUGGCCAUUCGCACUUCAUUUUGGGAAGAAAGUUUACUCACUAAAAGAUUUUUAUGCUUGAAAAGUAUACCUCCUCGCUGUUAAGCUUGGAAAGUGCAUUUGUGUGAUUCCCUAACUAACUGCACUUUCGAGGCUUUUUGGGUCUUCCAUCCUGACAAUUUCCCCGCGGAACUCUUUUUGUUGAUUUCGCAUUCAUAGUUCUUUGUUUUCUCCUAUUUUGACCAAACAUCUGUCACCAAGAAACUUGAUUCGUCUUGAAGGGGAGUAACAAUAGGCAAUCCACAUGAAUGAGAGAAGUUUCUCAUCCAUUCCAAUGAAAAACAUGCCAUGUCGAGAAAUAUUUGUCCCGUCUCUUCAUCUAGAGAGCCAUAGCUUAGCUUGAGCGCUUCUUUGAUGCCAUUUUCUAGCUUCCUUUUUAAUUUAUCCAAUGUCUCUUGCCAUAUUUGUAUUUUCCCCUUAAUUCUCAUAUAAGUAUGAAGCUGUUACCUCAAUAGCCAAAGGAAGCCCUCCAAUAAUGUCGACAAACCCUUUGGACAGAGAAUCAUUCUCAUAUUCCUCUUUGGGAGAAUAUCCGAUCCAAUACAUGAUUUCAAAAGCAUCGUCCCCAUUUUCUAUGGUGAUAAGCCCGCUGAUUUAAACCACCAACGUGGAUGUGUUGGGAAGUCCUUCUAUGAGUACAUGAACCGUGGAAUUGGCUGCAAGGACAUUGCUAAAUGGAAGCAGGCUCUCCAAGAAAUUGCUGAGAUGAAGGGUAUGAUCUGCUGAAUGCACGCAAUGGGCAUCAACGCGAACUGAAAAAAGAGAGUUGUUUCGGAUAUUGUACAGUGGCUGAAGAAGAAUGAUUUAUUUGUAACUCUAGCAGUUUAGUGGGCAUUGACACCGAUACGGGAGGUUAUGAAAAAGCUUGGUGUCAUCUAUCAUAAUGAGCAAUCAGUGGAAGUAUGUGGCGAAGAUGCACGUGUUUUUGGAAUAUGCGGAAUGCUAGGGACUGGCAAGACUACCGUUGUGAAGGUUGUGUACAAAAUAAAUCCAUCAUCUCUUGCAAGGUCGUGUUCUUUCAGAUAUUUGAGAAAAUGUCAGAUUGAAUACUCAUUGGACUGCAAGAACAGUUAAUCUCAAACCUCCAAAAGCAAGAAUGUAGAAGUCCAGGGACUCCAAAUCGAGGUGUCAUAGCAAAUUCAUCUAGUGAAAUAGAAGUGCUUAUACUUCUUGAUGAUGUGCAUUAUUUUGAACAAAUCAAGCCUUCAGUUGGGAAUCUCAGUUGGCUUGGCUCAGGAAGUAGCAUUCACAUGACAGUUAGAAAGAAAGGAUGUUCUUAUUUGUUAUGGGGAUGGAGUGGUUCAUAAGUACGAGGUUGAACCAAUGAGGCCUUAGAAAGCUCUUCAACUUUUCUGCGAGCAUGCUUUUUGUGAAUAUCUCCUAAAGAGGAGAGUUGUGGAUAUCUCCUGGAGAGGAGAGUAUGAAUCUCUGUCCAAAAGACUUUUGUUGACAUGAUUGGAGGGCUUUUUUGGCUAUUGAGGUAAUAGCUUCGUACCUAUAUGGGAAUAUGGGUUAAAUACAAAUAUGGUGAGAGACAUUGGAUAGAUUAAGAAGGAAGCUAGAAAAUGAUAUCGGAAGAGCGUUCAAGAUAAGAUGUGACUCCCUAGAUGAAGACACGAGAUAGAUACUUCUCGAUAUUGAAUGUUUUUCAUUUGGAUGGAUAAAAGAAUCCCCUCAUACAUGUGGAGUGCCUGUGGUUAUUAUCAUUCAAGAGGAAUCUUGAUUCUCCGUGACCGGUGUUUGGGCAAAACAGGAGAGAACAAAGAACUAUGGAUGCAUAAUCAAUUAAGAGAGUUUGGCAGGGAAAUUGUGAGGAUGGAAGAUCUCAAAAUGCCUCGAAAGAGCAGCUGUUAAUGGAAAGGAGAGUCCUAUAAAGGAGGUGGCAAGCCCUUGGUCUCACGUUUGAUGAGGGACGAAGUAAGAUGUUUUAGCUGCGAAGGAUUUGGCCAUCUACGGAGUUUGAGGUUCUUGAGAUUGGACCAGGCUACUAUUGGAGGGAGUCCUCAGAGUGUCCUUUCCUAGUUGAGGUGGCUCGAUUGGCAAGGGCGCAGCAAGGUCUCUGAAGUACUUAUUCUGCGUUUGGAGAUUCUUGAUCUAUAUUGUAGUUUGGCUACUGGAGAUUCACAAGUACGGAGAUAAAGUGUAUAUUAGCUUUUACGUCCGAGAUUAUCAGAAUAGCUAGCACCAACUGAGCCUUUUCUGUGCUCAAGAAGGCAAAGGAAUUGGAAGUUUUGAACCUAAGCGGUUGUCGUCAUUCUUGAUCUAUAUCGUAGUUUUGAUCAUAUCUAGAGAGAUUAGUCCUGGAACGCUGUCCCUUAUUUUCACAACUUGGUCGAUCCAUAGGUAAUCUAAA